UACUGCUACAGACGAGCACCAUGCUGAAGAGCUACAAAGUUCAGGAUGACUGAAAAAGUAAGUUAUUACAAAUUAUUAUGUAUUCAUGGUCGUUUCCAUUUCCGUCGAUGUGUAAGUUUUUUUUGCUGUCUACAUAUUAGAAAUGAUACAGAACAAAUAGAAACACUAUGGCUAAAGUUAUCACAGAGAAACAUCACUUCCUUCGUGUCAUUUGUCAUUUUUCAAUUGCGGUUUUUAACUCCAUCUUAAAUCUGAUCCUCGUUCCACAUGCACACCUAUUCUGGGAAGUGGUGAGAAAAUAGCCACAAGCAUCCUCGACCACCUCUUCUAGAACAUCAACUUCGACACCCACCACCAGUGCGUUUCUCACUAAGAAAGACACACAGGUUUGGAGGCAUGGAUCCAUCUGGACAUCGUGGACAUCAUCCCGGUGGCACAUUUCUUCAAAAUCACUCCCAGAAUCACUCAAGCAGGAAUCACUCUCGUCCUGAAUGUACGUGCGGGUGAGCUCACUGUCUCCUGGAGGAAAAUAUACACGAGGAGGACAAAUGAAAUCCAAGCACAGAGCUGUUAACUGAAGCUUGCUGUUAUAAAACUCAAAAUUAAAACUAGUAGAGCCCCUUCAGUGUUCUCUCAAAAACCAUUUCUCCAAAAGACAUCUAGACACGAAACCCCGAAUAAGCACUCAAGUGGCAGAGACGCCUCGUUGUUCUGUAUAUUAUCAUGUGUAUUGUGGUAAAUUUUUCAAAUUCAAAUUUUAUUGGUCUCACACACACAACCAUACACAGUGCAGUGAAAGGCGCUUUUUUUGACUGUCCGUGACAUAAAAAUAGAAUUUACAAAAACCAGAAUUUACUU